rnacentral:piRNA from 1 species
UGACCCGCUUUGGCUUUCAAAGCAUCUACAU